UAUAGUUUGAUUCUUAUGUGUAAAUCGAAUUAAUUAACGAACAAUCGCUGUCACUCUAAUUGAAUUAAUUAAUGGACGUUAAAUAAUUGUGCGAAUCGAUACAGCUCGAUCAGUACUACUCCCGUACCUUCUUCACUUAACCUAACCUAAAACUCGUUUCCUUAAUAUGACAGCCGAGGAAUUCGAAGCUCCGUGGCCGAGAUCAAUUGUUGCGAUUCAUGGUCGAAUCUUUUCAAGUCUAUCAUCGAUCAUCGAGUGAUGAUACGCAACUUUGUAGGAUACGCAAUGUGAAAGCUUGUUUCACGGAUGCCUGGCAUUCCACACGCUUCAUGUGCGAGAAACGAGCAAUCAACGUCAAGAUGACGAAUCUUAUCGAAUCUUAGUGGAUGUGAGUGGUUAUGUUUGGAUAAUUGGAGAUGAUUGGAUGAUAAAGAAGAAGUGUUGAAGUGUUGUUUUUGAAAAUUAAUUUUAUGCGAUGCGAAUUUAUUCGUUUGGAUAUGAUGGCUAGCUGAAACAUAAAUCCUUAAUUCAUAUUCUUGUAUAAAAGAUGAUAACAUUUCUUUUUUUAAUUUUUUGGAUAAAGAAAUAUAUUGAGUAUUGUUAGAAUAUAUUAGCUUUCUAUACAUGGAUUGUGAUCAAUAGAGAAAGGAUGAAUUCUUCCAAGGCUGAUACAGAAGAAUUAUUCUCCAAGAUUCUUAGCAAUUGAUAUCAAGAAUCAGAAUUUUAAUAAUCGUUAAACGCACCUCAUGAAUAUCAUACUAGUCUCGAUUAUCAACUCAAUUAUGGAAAACGACUAUGAAAAAUAAGAAAAAGCAGUACUCCUACAUACCAACAUACCCAUAACGAU